GAACUGGUCAGAACCGUCUGAAUCCCACCUCUGCUGUCACCCCAUUGAUCGCCAGAGUUGAUUCAGCUGAUCUGGCUGGCUAGGCAGGUGUUUCCUUCCUCACUCACUGCUCCCUGUACAUCCCUCUCGGAGUUGUGUGCUCAGUGGAAGAGGGCAACCUUCCCAAAUAGAAGUAGUUGACCCCUUCUACUUUGUAGCAGCCCCACAGAUAUUGGAAGACUGCUAUCCUGUCACCCCUAAGUUGGGUAUUUUGCAUUUCUAGAGCUGGCGAAAAAAACCAAUGGUUUUACUUU
rnacentral:sRNA from 1 species